GUUUGAUCCUGGCUCAGGACGAACGCUGGCGGCGUGCUUAACACAUGCAAGUCGAACGGUGACCAGGAGCUUGCUCCUGUGAUCAGUGGCGAACGGGUGAGUAACACGUGAGCAACCUACCCUUGACUCUGGGAUAACAGUUGGAAACAGCUGCUAAUACCGGAUACGACCCCUGCAGACAUCUGCCGGGGGUGGAAAGCUCCGACGGUCAAGGAUGGGCUCGCGGCCUAUCAGCUAGUUGGUGAGGUAACGGCUCGCCAAGGCGACGACGGGUAGCCGGCCUGAGAGGGCGACCGGCCACACUGGGACUGAGAUACGGCCCAGACUCCUACGGGAGGCAGCAGUGGGGAAUAUUGCGCAAUGGGCGAAAGCCUGACGCAGCAACGCCGCGUGCGGGAUGACGGCCUUCGGGUUGUAAACCGCUUUCAGCAGGGACGAAGUGAAAAUGACGGUACCUGCAGAAGAAGCACCGGCUAACUACGUGCCAGCAGCCGCGGUGAUACGUAGGGUGCGAGCGUUGUCCGGAAUUAUUGGGCGUAAAGAGCUUGUAGGCGGUCUGUUGCGUCGGAAGUGAAAACUCAGGGCUUAACCCUGAGCCUGCUUUCGAUACGGGCAGACUUGAGGGAUGUAGGGGAGAACGGAAUUCCUGGUGGAGCGGUGGAAUGCGCAGAUAUCAGGAGGAACACCAGUGGCGAAGGCGGUUCUCUGGACAUUUCCUGACGCUGAGAAGCGAAAGCGUGGGGAGCAAACAGGCUUAGAUACCCUGGUAGUCCACGCCGUAAACGGUGGGCACUAGGUGUGGGACCCAUUCCACGGGUUCCGUGCCGUAGCUAACGCAUUAAGUGCCCCGCCUGGGGAGUACGGCCGCAAGGCUAAAACUCAAAGGAAUUGACGGGGGCCCGCACAAGCGGCGGAGCAUGCGGAUUAAUUCGAUGCAACGCGAAGAACCUUACCUGGGUUUGACAUAUACCGGAAACAUCCAGAGAUGGGUGCCCCGCAAGGUCGGUAUACAGGUGGUGCAUGGCUGUCGUCAGCUCGUGUCGUGAGAUGUUGGGUUAAGUCCCGCAACGAGCG
rnacentral:rRNA from 1 species